GCCGCCCACGCGGUCUGGGCAGGGCCGAAGCGCACGCCCGGAAGAGUGGCUGGCUAGUCCCCCGCCGAGCCGGGGAGGGGAGGACCGCAGUGGGCGCCUCCUGCUCGCGCCCCCGCGCGGGUAGGCAGCAGCAGCGGCGACACUGGGCCCAAGACUGCGCCAGCCUGCCCUGAUCUACAGGAGGCCGCCACCACAGACCCUGACAAAGAAUGAGCAGUCUCUUGAAGGACUAUGUGACAACAGUCCUCACCUCCUCCAUCCUCACCUAUAUCCUUGGAAAAAGGCCUACUCCAGGCAGAGGCAUUACUCCAGGAUGCUGAAGAUGAGACCCGUGGACAGGAGACAAAAAGGAUGUCUUGGGUAUCAUUAAGAUAAAAUCUACAGAGCACAGUCAAAUUUCAGAAUCAAAAGCCUCAAAUCAAAAAACCUCAAAAGCCGAUUCUGAGGGAUCCAAUUCAGAACUGAACAAAAAUCUAACCUUACAAUGUGUCCAACUGCUAAAAGAUCUAUAUGGUAAGGCAAGCUUAUUACCUCCUUAGCUAGUCUGUUA
rnacentral:lncRNA from 1 species